rnacentral:rRNA from 1 species
GACGAACGCUGGCGGCGUGCUUAACACAUGCAAGUCGAACGGAAAGGCCCUGCGUUUGUGGGGUUCUCGAGUGGCGAACGGGUGAGUAACACGUGAGUAACCUGCCCUUGACUUUGGGAUAACGUCAUGAAACUGGGGCUAAUAACGGAUAGGAGCUCCUGCUGCAUGGUGGUGGUUGGAAAUUUUCGGCGGUUGGGGAUGGACUCGCGGCUUAUCAGCUUGUUGGUGGGGUAGUGGCUUACCAAGGCUUUGACGGGUAGCCGGCCUGAGGGGGUGACCCGCCACAUUGGGGCUGGGAUACGGCCCAGCCUCCUACGGGCGGAAGCAGUGGGCAACAUUGCCCAAUGGGCGGAAGCCUGAUGUAGCCCCGCAGCGUGCGGGAUGCCGGCCUUCGGGUUGCAAACCGCUUUCGCACGCGACGAAGCGUGAGUGACGGUAAUGGGUAAAGAAGCACCGGCUAACUACGUG